CUGCUCACUUUGGCAGCACAUAUACUAAAAUUGGAACGAUACAGAGAAGAUUAGCACGGCCACUGCGCAAGGAUGACACACAAGUUCAUGAAACAUUCCCUGUUUUA
rnacentral:snRNA from 1 species